rnacentral:lncRNA from 13 species
CAAAAAUAGAAACAAAUCUGAGGUGGGACAUGACCCCGUGCCCCCUAUGGGAAUGUCGCCUCUGGAUCUCACCAUGGCUUGUAAAGUAUCCCAUCUACUAGUUUACCUUUCUUAUCCUUGUCUCCUCAACUCAGGCUCCAGUUACUAAGUCACUAUGUGCAGAACCAUAGUGAGAGAGAGAGAGCGAGAGAGAGAGAGAGUGAGAGAGAGACCCGAGCCCAAAAGUUGGAUGCCAGUGUACAUUCUCCGGUUGGAAGCUCGAAGAGCCAAUGAAACAUGAAAUUGAAUUAGAAUCCCAGGGAUGCAGUCUGGAAGGGAAUGGAGCUUGCCGGUUUCUAGUCCUAAAACCCUGGAAUGAGUUACCUCCGGUUCGUACAGCCAUCCCUAUGGGUUUUGGGGGAUGUCCUUUAUGUGCUUAUUUUAAUGACAAAUGCUUUCAAAUUUACAAAAAGUGAUGUUAGCUGAUUAAAAUUAUCUCAUUGAACAAAACGUAUAAGAUCUCCUAAGCCAGUGUUUACCACAGACCUUAUUUUCUGUGUUUACCCAAAACCACCAUUCAUUUCUCCAUAGGCUUUGUUCAACGAACCAUGGCGGAGUUAGUACCUACAAAAUUACACCAUUGCUAUUUCUCUCAAUGGCGUGGAGGAGGAGGAGGAGGAGGAGGAAGAGAAGAGGAACAGAAGGGGAGGAGAAUCAGAGAGGAGGUUUAGGGGAGCAGACUUGAAUUGUUGUAGUGAUUUGCCUCCUUUAUUGAAGACAGAAAGGAAUAUACUUCACUGUUUAAUAUAGCAGAAAUAUAACAUAACACAAUCCUUUCAUUAAUUGUCUAGUUUUUGUUGUUGUUGAGUAAAUUGGAAAUGUAGAGAAGUGACCAGCACAAUGUCUUCCCAGAAAUAAUUAAACAGUUGCUGUACCCACAAUAGGAAUGAUUUUACUAGGAUUAUUAUGAAGAAAUUAUUGUCCAUACAGAGGCGUAUGCACUUUAUAUUCAAAAUCAAUUACUUGUGACUGGUUCUCUUUGGACUCUGAAAGAACUUAAAUGCUUGCAUCACUAAUUAAACUCUAUAUCCACCAGUUUCACAUUUUGUAUUUUCUUUAGAAGUGAUUGUGUGUGUGUAAAAUGUUACUGUUCUCUGAUUUUUUAUUAAUAGAUUUCAGUGUAACAAUGUGUAUGAAUUGUUUCUUUUUUUGCAAAAUGCUAAAUAGUAUGUCCAUUGUUUAGCUGGAAUGGAAUGUUCGUAUCCUGUAUAGGGUUAUAUAAGGAGGGUAUAUUACUGGAAACGUUCAAAGUUCAGAAUUUUUGUAUCUUUCAAGGAUUUUAUGUAAUCUAUCACACGACAUCUAAUGGCCCUUUUGGG